rnacentral:rRNA from 1 species
UGUGAACUCGAAGAGUAGGGCGGGACACGUGGUAUCCUGUCUGAAUAUGGGGGGACCAUCCUCCAAGGCUAAAUACUCCUGACUGACCGAUAGUGAACCAGUACCGUGAGGGAAAGGCGAAAAGAACCCCGGCGAGGGGAGUGAAAAAGAACCUGAAACCGUGUACGUACAAGCAGUGGGAGCCUCUUUAUGGGGUGACUGCGUACCUUUUGUAUAAUGGGUCAGCGACUUAUAUUCUGUAGCAAGGUUAACCGUAUAGGGGAGCCGAAGGGAAACCGAGUCUUAACUGGGCGUUAAGUUGCAGGGUAUAGACCCGAAACCCGGUGAUCUAGCCAUGGGCAGGUUGAAGGUUGGGUAACACUAACUGGAGGACCGAACCGACUAAUGUUGAAAAAUUAGCGGAUGACCUGUGGCUGGGGGUGAAAGGCCAAUCAAACCGGGAGAUAGCUGGUUCUCCCCGAAAGCUAUUUAGGUAGCGCCUCGUGAACUCAUCUUCGGGGGUAGAGCACUGUUUCGGCUAGGGGGCCAUCCCGGCUUACCAACCCGAUGCAAACUACGAAUACCGAAGAAUGUUAUCACGGGAGACACACGGCGGGUGCUAACGUCCGUCGUGAAGAGGGAAACAACCCAGACCGCCAGCUAAGGUCCCAAAGUCAUGGUUAAGUGGGAAACGAUGUGGGAAGGCACAGACAGCCAGGAUGUUGGCUUAGAAGCAGCCAUCAUUUAAAGAAAGCGUAAUAGCUCACUGGUCGAGUCGGCCUGCGCGGAAGAUGUAACGGGGCUAAACCAUGCACCGAAGCUGCGGCAGCGACACUAUGUGUUGUUGGGUAGGGGAGCGUUCUGUAAGCCGUUGAAGGUGUGCUGUGAGGCAUGCUGGAGGUAUCAGAAGUGCGAAUGCUGACAUAAGUAACGAUAAAGCGGGUGAAAAGCCCGCUCGCCGGAAGACCAAGGGUUCCUGUCCAACGUUAAUCGGGGCAGGGUGAGUCGACCCCUAAGGCGAGGCCGAAAGGCGUAGUCGAUGGGAAACAGGUUAAUAUUCCUGUACUUGGUGUUACUGCGAAGGGGGGACGGAGAAGGCUAUGUCAGCCGGGCGACGGUUGUCCCGGUUUAAGCAUGUAGGCGGAGGUUCCAGGUAAAUCCGGUACCUUUUAACGCUGAGGUGUGAUGACGAGGCACUACGGUGCUGAAGUGAUAAAUGCCCUGCUUCCAGGAAAAGCCUCUAAGCAUCAGGUAACACGAAAUCGUACCCCAAACCGACACAGGUGGUCAGGUAGAGAAUACCAAGGCGCUUGAGAGAACUCGGGUGAAGGAACUAGGCAAAAUGGUGCCGUAACUUCGGGAGAAGGCACGCUGAUAUGUAGGUGAAGUCCCUGCGGACGGAGCUGAAAUCAGUCGAAGAUACCAGCUGGCUGCAACUGUUUAUUAAAAACACAGCACUGUGCAAACACGAAAGU